GUGAACUCGGGGCCGGGAGGGCGGUUAAGACGUGGGUGUCGGGCGUGGUCCGGAAUCGCUGGGCGUAAAGGGGGCGUAGGCGGCCCGGCAAGUCUGGGGUGAAAGCUCAGGGGUCAACGCGGAGUCGGCCAUAGAGAGUGCGAGGCUCGAGUCGACGAGAGGCAGAUGGAAUUCCGGGUGUAGCGGUGGAAUGCGUAGAGAUCCGGAAGAACACCGGUGGCGAAGGCGGUCUGCUGGGGUCGAACUGACGCUGAUGCGCGACAGCGUGGGGAGCAAACAGGAUUAGAUACCCGUGUAGUC
rnacentral:rRNA from 1 species